GUCCCCACCCUCUCAUGUAGGUGAGAGGCGGCUGAAGAGUUGCUGUAUUCUGGGAAUGGGCAGGGUCACUUGUCCGAACAGAGUCCUAUCCUACGCGGCGGAAGCGUGUGCCCUUUGACUUGCAUCGUCUACCUACCUCUGCCAUCCUCUACCAGCCGCAACUGCGAGGGCUGGAGGUUGGUCCGCAGUCAUUCACCUGGUUCUUAAGGCCAGCUAGAUUUCGUGGUUAUCUCCAUCCCGGAGGCUGCGUGGACGCCCUUCUGGAAGCACACAUCCCAUGUCCUCUGGGGAGUAGUAGAGCCAACUUCAGGACUGAUUGAUCAUGACUUCUAUAAAGGAGCAGGCAGCAAUUAGCAGGCUCUUAAGUUUUUUACAGGAGUGGGACAACGCUGGCAAAGUCGCAAGGAGUCACAUCCUCGACAAGUUCAUUGAAACCAACCAAGGCAAGACUGCCCCUGAACUGGAGCAGGAGUUUUCCCAGGGAGCCAGUUUGUUCCUGGUACGCUUGACCACCUCGCUUAGAAUCACCUAUAUGACUGACUCAUGUUUAGAAAAGCUUCUCAGGUCCAUUGGCAUCUUCUUAUCAGCUGUAAGCAGUAAUAGGUACCUUAUAGAAUUUCUUGAGGUUGGAGGUGUCCUAACACUCUUGGAAAUACUUGGGCUAGAGAAGAUCAAGGAGGAGGCCAAGAAGGAAUCUGUCAAACUACUUCAGGUUAUUGCGAACUCUGGCAGGACAUACAAGGAGCUCAUUUGUGAAAGCUAUGGUGUACGAUCCAUAGCAGAAUUUUUGGCAAAGUCUAAGUCAGAAGAGACCCAGGAGGAAGUGCAGGUUCUGUUGGAUUCUUUGGUCCACGGCAAUCCCAAGUACCAAAAUCAAGUGUAUAAAGGUCUAAUAGCUUUGCUGCCCUGCGAGUCCCCGAAAGCCCAGCAGCUGUCCCUGCAGACUCUCAGGACUGCCCAGCCAAUCAUUGGGACCACACACCCCAGCAUCGUGGACUGCGUGCUGAAGGUGCUGGGCACGAUGCACCUGGAAGUCCAGUAUGAAGCCAUCGAGUUGAUCAAGGACCUGGUCGGUUACGAUGUGCGCCAGGCGCUGCUCAAAGGCCUCGUGGCGCUGCUGAUACCGUCGGUCAAGGAGACCUCCAAACUGCAGGCCAAGAUCCUCAGUGGUAAGGACCUGCUCAAAUGGGGCUGCCUGGGCCACGGGAGGGCGGUCUCUUGCCUCACGGCUGCCCCCUCCUCAGACCCCUCGGUUCUCCAGCUCACCCCCAGCCUGCCGAUGUUUUUGCAGCAGGCCGCGGCCGCCAAGGCCAUCGGCCUGAACCCCCGGCCCAGGGUCCUGGCGCGCAACGACAUGAGCAUCGCCGAGGAGCUGCUGUACCUGCGCGUGGUGCGUGGCCUAAUGGCCGCCAUGGGCAACACGGACCACAGCAACAGCCAGCGGCUGGCCAGCCUCACGCUGGAGUGCUUCGUGCAGAUGUUCCCCUUGGUGGCGGAGCACGUGCGCAAGUGCAUGGGGGAGGAACUCUACCAGCUCUUCCUGGCUGCCGACCCGCCCCCCACCUGCAACAUCCCUCUGCCAAGCCCAACUCCAAGUCCAGACUGCCCUGGCACCCCAGCCGGGUCCCCCUUGCUCCUGUCCUCAGAGCAACGCUGAGGACUUGUACAUGAAAAUAGACAGCAUUCAGGCGGACAUCUUGGCGGCCAACACAGUCAAUGUUACCAAAGCCCUGUGCCUCCAUGGCAGCUCCUACAGCAUGAACACUCUCUAUGGCUCGCGUGAUUCGGCUCAGAUGGCCUACCUCACACACUUCGAGGAGGAUGUAGAAUCAAAGGAGUAACAGCCCCUGUGGCAAACCAGGAAGGCCAAGGCUGCGGGGCAGGGAAGCCUGGCAAGAGGAAGGCGCCUGGGGUCAAGCUCAGAGCCACUCCACUUGGCUCCAAGGGGGAGACGGGGAUUAGGCACCCCAGAGGGGCAGAGGGAGAGCCGCUGGCUGCGAAGAGUCAAUAAACAGCCUUGAUACCUGUC